UCCCGCCCACCUACCAAUGGCAGCUAGUUUCAUGUACUUCCUACUUUAACUCCAGGUACUUCCUGCCCCUCAACAGCCAAUAGAAAUGCCUUCUCUUUGUUUCCCCAGUAGCCAAUCAAUUGCCUGCCCUCCCCAUAAAACCCCAAGCACUAAACAGCCGGGCAAGACUUCUCUGGCCCCCCCCUUGGACCACUGAAGCUCGCCUGGGAGCUGAAUAAUUAGCUUCUCACUUUCUUAUACUUGCCUCAGUUUCUUCAUUUUACCUCAGCAAUAAAUCUUACAUUUGGUGCCGAAACCCGGGAGGAGUUGUGAGACCCUUCCCCCUCCUGGGAGGGGGGAACUGACUCCUCCACCCGAGGCCAGACCAGGAGCUGCUCUGCCAUGAGGAGGUGGAUGGAGUCUCAUUCUUUUGGCCAUGCUGGAAUGCAGUGGCACAAUUUCAUCCCACUGCAACCUCCGCCUUCCAGGUUCAAGCUGGAGUGCAGUGGCGUGAUCUCGGCUCACUGCAACCUUCACCUCUGGUUCAAGCGAUUUUCCUGCCUCAGUCUCCCUAGCUGGGAUUACAGUUUAGAUGCUCAAUAACGCACAGCUGUGAUGUCUCUUGUCCAAUAAUCAUGGGACUGCUCCUGUUGCCAACUUUGCCUGUAGUUCACCAAAGUCAAGUUGCCCAAGGAGAAGCUGGACUUCGCAGAUAGUCAGUGGCAGAGCUGGGUUCAACCCUGGAUCUGGCUGACUUGAAUCCUGUUCACAUUCUUUUCUCCACUCUGCCUUAUUUGCUGUCACAUCUUGGCUGGCAGGCACAGAGUCAAACCUGACAGGGACCGUGAAAAGCCGGGAGUUUUCAGCCUGCUAGGCAAGCGGCAGUGCCAUAGAGCCACUAUGCAAGAAAUGCCUUUUGCCCUCUGCCAUGAUUGUGAGACCUCUCCAGCCAUGUGGAACUGUAAGUGAAAUUAAACCCUCUUUUCUUCUUAGUCUCAGGUCUGUCUUUAUUAGCAGCAUGAAAAUGAGCUAAUACAGUAAAUUGGUACCGGUAGAGUUGGGCACUGCUGAAAAGUUACCCAGAACUGUGGAAGUGACUUUGGAACUGGGUAACAGCAAGAGGUUGGAUCUGUUUGGAGGGCUCAGAAAAAGAUAGGAAAAUGUGGGAAAGUUUGGAACUCCCUAGAGACUUGUUGAAUGGCUUUGCCCAAAAGUCCAAUAAAGUCCAGGACAAGGUGGUCUAAGAUGGAAAAGAAGAACUAGUUAAGAACUGGAGUAAAGAUGACUGUUGCUAUGUUUUAGCAAAGAGACUGGCAACAUUUUGCCCCUGAUCUAGAGAUUUGUGGAACUUUGAACUUUAGAGGGAUGAUUUAGGGUAUCUGGAGAAAUCAAUUUGUACGCAGCUAAGCAUUCAAAUGGUGACUGGCGUGCUAUUAAAGGCAUUGCAUUUUAUAACUUUUAUGCUCUACAUCAACGUUUGGAAAAUUUGCAGCCUGUAAAUGUAAUAAUAAUUAAAAAAACCAUUCCAUUUUCUGAAGAGAAAUUUAAGUCUGCAACAGAAAUUUAUGUAAGUAAUGAGAAACUUACUUGGAAUGUUAAUUUCCAAGACAAUGGGGAAUAUGUCUCCAGGACAUGUCAGAGGUCUUCUUGGCAGUCCCUCUUAUCACAGGCCUGGAGGAAGAAAUGGUUUCAUGGGCCAGUCCCCAGGUCCUGUGCUGUGCACAGCCUGGGGAGUUGGUGCCCUGUCCUUGGGGCCAAGGGCCAGCUUAGGCUGUGGCUUCAGAGGGUGCAAGCCCCAACCUUCCAUGUGGUGUUGAGCCUGUGGUAUACAGAAGUCAAGAAUUGAGGUUUGGAAACAUUUAGCUAGAUUUUAGAAGAUGUUUGGAAACACCUGGAUGUCUAGCCAGAUGUUUGCUGCAGGGGUGAGGCUCUCAUGGAGAACCUCUUCUAGUGCAGUGUGGAAGGGAAAUGUGGGGUUGGAGCCCUCCCACAAAGUCCAUACUGGGGCACCGCCUAGUGGAGAUGUGAGAAGAGGAGCACCGUCCUUCAGACACCAGACCCACCAACAGCUUGCACUGUGCACCUGGAAAAGCCACAGACAUUCAAUGCCAGCUGUGAGAGCAGCCAGGAGACAAGGCUGUACCCUGCAAGGUCACAAAGGUGGAGCAGCCCAAGACCAUGGAAACCCACCUCUUGCAUCAGCAUGACCUGGAUGUGAGACAUAGAGUCAAAGGAGAUCAUUUUGGAGCUUUAAUAUUUAGCUGCCCCGCUAGAUUUCAGAUUUCAUGGGGCCUGUAGCCCCUUUGUUUUGGCCUAUUUAUCUCAUUUGCAAUGCCUAUAUUAACCCAAUGCCUGUACUCUCCACUGUAUCUAGAAAGUAACUAGCUUUUAAUUUCACAGACUCAUAGGCAGAAGGGACUUGCUUUGUCUCAGAUUAGACAUUAGACUGUGGAUUUCUGAGUUAAUGCUGAAAUAAGUAAAGCCUUUGGGAACUGUUGGGAAGGCAUAAUUUGUUUUGAAAUGUGAGGAUAUGUUGUUUGAGAGGGGCCAGGGGUGGAAUGAUACAAUUUGGCUGUGUCCCCACCCAAAUCUCAAUGUGAAUUGUAUCUUCCAGAAUUCCCACAUGUUGUGGAAGGGACCCAGUGGGAGGUAAUUGAAUCAUGGGGGCUGGUCUUUCCUAUGCUAUUCUUGUGAUAGUAAGUUUCACAAGAUCUGAUGGGUUUAUCAGGGGUUUCCUCUUUUGCUCCCUCCUCAUUCUCUCUUGCAGCUGCCAUGUAAGAAGUGCCUUUCGCUUUCUGCCAGGAUUGUGAGACCUUCCCAACCGUGUUGAACUGUAAGUCAAAUUCAGUCUCCUUUUCUUUCCUGUCUCCGAUAUGUCCUAAUCAACAGCAUGAAAAUGGACUAAUACAUGAGUUAUACAGUAUCACUUCUCCAUAAAGUAGGGAACUAGAAUAGAAAUAGGGCCUUAAUUUUGGCUGCAAAAAAAUAAGUGUCUAAGAGUGGAAUUGCUAAUGUUGCACAUGAAAUGAUACAAUGUGAGGUGGUCAGGGAUUCAGAAAGUGAUGGAUUUAGGAAAGUACCCUACAAGCUUUGCAGUCUUUUGGAUUAAAACAUAGAGUAUGGAAUGAAGUCAGGCCAGAGAAUCUUGAAAACCAUGCUUGUAGAAGAGUAUAGCCAUCAUCACACAUCUAUUUUAGUAUUAACAAUAUUAGAGAUUAAAACUCAGCUAAUAUAUCUGCUUUUUCCAAUUGGCUCUGUGCUCUUGGAAAAGUGUAGUAUGCAGUAGAUUGUCAAUAUAUGCCUAUAAAACUAAAGAGAAAGGAAUUGCACUUUAUCCCUUUUUGACUCUAUAUUUGUUUCCAUUUUGUUUCCCAAACAGAAAGUUUCCUCAAAUUUUAGCAUCUAUUAAUGUUUCUAAGUGGAACCAAAUCAUGGGAUCUCUCUCUUUUCUCCUUCUUACUCCAGUGCAUGAAAGUGGAAGAAGCACAUUCUUAUAUUCCCGUUUCCUGGUUGUAACAAUCCUGUUGGGAAAAGGAAGAUGAAUCACAGGGCAAUGGAGGCAAUACUGUUAUAGUCCUUAGAAAGAGUCAUAAUCCUUGCCCAUAAUGCUGUAUAGAUAUCCUUCUCCAAUAUGAGUUUAAAAGAUAAUUCAGUAAUUCAUCAGAACAGUUAGGAAACUACUAGAAACUUCAUGACCUCAUAUUCUUUAAAGGAACCAAUUUAUUGUAUUGUUGUGACUUUCAUUUGUUCUCCCCUUUGAUGUUUAUGUGAUGAGCACCUUUGGUGAUGGCUGAAAUUAUACAUAGACAAAGAGGACUCAGGCAUGACAAAGAUGUCUUCUAAUUUUCCUGGAGAUUAAUCUCUCCCUCUUAAAUCUACAAAAUUAAACUUUUUCUUGGUUUGAUUUUGUACCCCAAUAUUUUUUCCUAGCUAUAAUUAGAGAUGAAAAUUAAGAGAGCAAUGAAAAAAGUACUCUGAUUUAUUACUUUUGACAGGGAAGGUCUUUUUCCCAUGUGGCUUCUGCAUUCCUUUCUUUAGAGGGAAAAAGCAGAGGAAGAGGACUAUUUGUCAGCUAGUAGCAGCUUCCAAGAAAAGAAGUAUAUUUGGGAAAGUAUUUGAGAUUAAAACACAUUAGAAAAGAUGCAUCUCAUUAAAUCAAGAUAUUGUUCAAAUCAACCCACUAUGCUUUUUUUAAAUGUUAAAUUUGUAUGUUUUAAAACUUAGAGUUUUAACAACUUAUGUUCCUUAUUGAUUGAUGACAUAACCUCCACAAACCAGAAUUCUACCUAAAGAUGAAAACUUCCUUUGGAAAAAUAUGGGGGCUGGCAUUUUAAUGAGCAUUUACAAGCCAAGUGCCUGAUGAACUGUGUGGUUGCGCUACUUUUUAAAUUGUCAUAAGUCUUGGAGGAGCUAUUAUUAUACCUAUUUUUUAGAGGAGCAAACUAAGGCUGAGAUUCUACCUUGUCCAGGGAAACAUAAAACAUAAAUAGAAGAGCCAUAAAUGGGAUACAUAUUAUCCCAAACCAAUGCCUCUCAAACAUUUUCUUUCUUCGUUUUUUGUUUUGUUUUGUUUUGAAACCCAAGAGAGUGCAAUGGCCACAGGCCCACUUUUCUUUCCCUGCCUAGUUGUGAAAUGUUGCUUGUUGUUUCUACCAACCUAGAAUAUUAUUCCUGGAUUUUUUUCUUUCUUAAUUUUUUAAUCAGAAAGCCAAUAGAUUUUCUAAAAAUUUUCAGUAUUUUACCCAUAUUUUAUUGAUCUAUGAUGCUAUUGACUAAAAGACAUACAUUGGAUUAUGUAUGUUCUAAAGAAAACAAAUGCUGUCAACAAAACUAUGACAUAAUGCUUUAAAAAAUAGUCCUGCAUGGUGCACGAAUCAGUCACAUCACCACUCAUUGUAUUUCAUCAAUUCCAAGAUAUUUAGCAAUUUCUUGUGUUUUUAGUUCCUCUGCAUGGCAGGUGAUAGCAAUCCCUUUUGUUUGCAUUUAAUAACAAAGCCUAACACAGCUUCAUCUACUUCUGGGUAUUAUUUUUCUUAGGUCCCAUAAGACACAUGGUUAUUGUUUUGUAAGGAAAUAAGGGGCUCUAGUCAUUCCUGAAAUGAUGAAUAUUUGCCUCACUAAAAGCAAAUGCAUUCCCCACUGCUCUAUUUUUAUGUAUUUUUUGUAUAUAAUGACUUCUGCCUCAAUGCGGAAUCAUGUGCAGUCUUUUAGAAGGCAUUUUAAAUGACAAUUAAACUCAACACUUGUAGCACUAAAAAUAUUCAAAACUCAAUGGAAGUGACAACAAUGUGAAUAUUUAUACUGGAAGCAAUGACAACCACAUCAGAACUGCCACCUGGCCAGCAGUGAUUAUAAUAUGUCACUAAAUCUAACACUCUUCCUAAUUUCAGAGGUAUUAAAAUGUGAAAAACUGUACUUCUUAGAAUCAACGAAAUAAGUAAAUAUUAAACAUGCUUUUUAACAGUCUCUCUUUUCUGCAUUUCAGAUUCUGAUCUGGUCCCAGCUCUUAUAUUCUUGAAGCACCCCUGUCCCCUAUACCUCUCAUCCUGCAGAGAAAUACUGCUGUACUCUGUGCCUCUUUCCACUAAGAAAAGUUUUUUCAUCUACUCUAGGCUUCAUUUUAGCAUUUACCCCAAGGCCUGUUAUAAAUGGACAGAAAAUUAAAUUUUUCUUUUUCCUCUUAGGGAGAGAAAACCUAACUACAUUUCCAACUCAUGACAGUGUAUAUUCCACAUUUACAUUGUAUCAUGGUCAUGUGUAGUCCCUUGCUGAUAGAUAGGGUGAACAUAAAGGGAUUUAAUUUUUGAACUCAUAAUAAACUUUUUCAACAACUUGAUAGUUUGUACGUAAGAAUUAUUUUCUAUAAAUUGUCUCUUUACUCUGUUGAUAGUUUCUUUUGCUGUGCAGAAGCUCUUGAGUUUAAUUAGAUUCCACUUACCAGGUUUUGCUUUUGUUAUGGUUGCAUUUGGUAUCUUCAUCAUGAAAUUUUUGCCCAUUCCUAUGCCCAGAAUCAUCUUGUCUAGGUUGUCUUUCAAGGUUUUUAUCAUUUUGGGUUUUACAUUUACAUUUUUAAUUCAUCUUGAGUUGAUUUUUUUACAUGGUGUAAGGAAGGGAUCUAGCUUCAAUCUUCUAUAUAUGACUAGCCAGUUACCAAGUACCGUUUAUUGUUUAGGGAGUCGUUUCCCCAUUGCUUGCUUUUGUUAGCUUUGUCAAUCACAGGUGUGCAGUCUUAUUUCUGGGCUCUCUAUUCCAUUCUAUUGGUUAGUCCAUUUAUCUGUUUUUGUACCAGUAUCAUGCUGUUUUGGUUAAUGUAGACAUGUAGUAUAGUUUGAAGUUGAGUAAUGUGAUGCCCACAGCUUUGUUCUCUUUGCUUAGUAUUGCCUUUGCUAUUCAGGUUAUUAGUUCAAUAGGAAUUUUAAGAUAGGUUUUCUAGUUCUAUGAAGAAUGUCAUUGAUAGUUUGAUAGGAAUAGCACUGAAUCUGUAAAUUGCUUUGGGCAGUAUGCCCUUUUCAAUGAUAUUGAUUAUUCCUAUCCAUGGGCAUGGGAUGUUUUUCCGAUUGUUUAUGUCUUCUCUGAUUGCUUUGAGAAGUGCUAGUGUUUCACAGUUUUCAUUGUAGAGAUCUUUCACCUCCCUGGUUAGCUGUAUUCCUAGGUUAUUUAUUAUUUUUGUGGCAAAUGUGAAUGAGAUUGCGUUUCUAAUUUGGCUUUCAGCUUGGCCACUGUUGGUGAAUAGGAAUACUAGUAAUUUUUGUACAUUGAUUCUGUAUCCAAAUAUUUGCAAACUAUGUAUCUGGCAAAAGUCUAAUAUCCACCAUCUAUAAUGAACUUUAAAAAAUUAACAGGAAAAAAAAACAACUCCAUUAAAAAGUGUACAAGGGUAUGAACAGACACUUUUCAAAAAAAGACAUAUAUGCAGUCAACAAGCAUAUGAAACAAAGCUCAGUAUCACUGAUUAUUAGGGAAAUGCAAAUAAAAACCAUAAUGAGAUACCAUCUCACAGCAGUCAGAAUGGGCAUUAUUAAAAAGCCAAAAAAUAACAGUUGCUGGUGAUAUUGCAGAUGAAAAGGAACGCUUAGACACUGUUGGUAUGAGUGUAAUAUAGUUCAACAAUUGCAGAAAGCAGUAUGGCGAUUCUUCAAAGAGCUAAAAGCAGAACUACCAUUUGAUCCCGCAAUCUCAUUGCUAAACAUAUACCCAGGGGAAUACAAAUCAUUUUACCAUAAAGACACAUGUACAUAAAUGUUCAUUACAGCAGUAGGCACAAUAGCAAAGACAUAGAAUCAAUAUAAAUGCCCAUUAAUGACAGAUUGGAUAAAGCAAAUGUGGUGCAAGUACACCAUGGAAUACUACGCAGCCAUAAAAAGAAUUAGAUCAUGUCUUUUGCAGGAACAUGGGUGGAGCUGGAGCAUGAAUAAUAGCCAAGGAAAAGAAAACCAAAUAUUGCAUGUUCUCACUUAUAAGUGGGAGCUAAACGAUAAGAACUUAUGAACACAAAGGAGGGAAAAACAGACACUGGGGUCUACUUGAUGGUGGAGAUUGUGAGGAGGGAGAGGAGCAGAAAAGAUAACUUUGGAGCAGAAAAUCCAAAAAAUAUGGAUACUGGGCUUAAUUCCUGGGUAACAAAAUAAUCUGUACAAUAAAUCCCUGUGACAUGAGUUUACUGAUGUAACAAACCUUCAUAUGUACUUCUGAACCUAAGAUAAACAUUACAAAAAUAAUUAUUUUCUAUUAUUAAACAUGUCCUUUGGAAACAUUUUCAUAACUGUUGAGUAUUUUGUUGAGCCCUGAGGAAAGUAUGCAGUAGCUGAUUUUUGACUUUUAUUGCAAAUUUAUUUUUUUCUCCAUUCUUCACAUUUUUCCAUUGAUAUAAUACCUGCAUACUCUACCGAUCCAAACAAUAUAUAGUCAAAAGGGAAAUUGAUAAUCUCUCAUUUUCUCUUCUUAAUCCCGUUUUCUAAGGUAACUACUGUAAACUAUUUCCUUUGCGAAGAGAAACAAAUGCUACACACACAUACACACAUAUAUACGUAUAUAUAACCACUGACGAUUAAAAAACAAACAAAUAUGAGAACCUAACAUGGAGGUGCUAUUCUUCCUAAGUGGUCUUUUGUGUACCUGUUUUGAAGUUAAUGUAUAAUGAUUCGCAUUUUUUAAUAGCUGCUUAUUGUUUCAUAGAAUUAAUAUAUCACGGAUUGGGACACCAUUUCCCUCCCUGUAUAUGGAUAGCUAAGUCUGUUCCAGCUGCUGUAACAAAAUACCAUGAACUGGGUAUCUUAUAAAAGAAAUUUAUUUUUCAGAGUUCUAGGUCUGAAUUCUAAGAACAAGGUGCCAGCAGAUUCAACAUCCGGUGAGGGCUCAUUCCUCAUAGACAGUGUCUUCUUGCUGUAUCCUCACAUGGCAGAAGGGGAAGACAAUCUCCCUUUGGCCUCUUUUAUAAGGGCACAAAUCCUUUCCAUCCUCUAAAGGCCCCAUCUCUUACUACUAUUGCACUGAGGAUUAGGAUUCAACAUACAAAUUUUGGGGGAACACAAACAUGCAGGCCAUAGCAAUGGAUAAUCUAGUUAUUUACAGAUAGUGUUCUUAUAAACCUUUUAGAUAUAUUUUUGGGUAAGACUUUUGACAGUGUCAGAAAUUGCUAAUUUUUCUUUUUUCUUUCCCCCUGACAGAAUCCUAGAAAUGAAGAUACUCAGUAAGGGAGCAUACAAACUGUAAAUUUAAUAUUGCUAGUUUUAUUUUCUAAAAUAUUAUAAAAAUGUACAUUCAUCAAUAAUAAAUACUGUCAUUUUCUAUAGGUUUUCAUUAGCACUUAAUAUUCUCAAACUUUUA